GUGUCAGCAGCCGCGGUAAGACGAACCGAGCGAACGUUGUUCGGAAUCACUGGGCUUAAAGGGCGCGUAGGCGGCUUAUCAAGUCAGGGGUGAAAUUUUGCGGCUUAACCGUAACAGUGCCUUUGAUACUGAUAGGCUAGAGGGAGAUAGGGGUCUGCGGAACUUCUGGUGGAGCGGUGAAAUGCGUUGAUAUCAGAAGGAACGCCGGUGGCGAAAGCGGCGGACUGGAUCUCUACUGACGCUGAGGCGCGAAAGCUAGGGGAGCAAACGGGAUUAGAUACCCCGGUAGUCCUAGCCCUAAACGUUGGGUACUAGAUUGUAAGUUCGAUAUGGGCCUACAGUCGAAGCAAAAGUGUUAAGUACCCCGCCUGGGGAGUAUGGUCGCAAGGCUGAA
rnacentral:rRNA from 1 species